rnacentral:rRNA from 1 species
AGGUUUCGAGUCCUGGCUCAGGACGAACGCUGGCGGCGUGCUUAACACAUGCAAGUCGACGGAAAGGCCCUGCUUUUGUGGGUGCUCGAGUGGCGAACGGGUGAGUAACACGUGAGUAACCUGCCCUUGACUUUGGGAUAACUUCAGGAAACUGGGGCUAAUACCGGAUAGGAGCUCCUGCUGCAGUGGUGGGGGUUGGAAAGUUUCGGCGGUUGGGGAUGGACUCGCGGCUUAUCAGCUUGUUGGUGGGGUAGUGGCUUACCAAGGCUUUGACGGGUAGCCGGCCUGAGAGGGUGACCGGCCACAUUGGGACUGAGAUACGGCCCUGACUCCUACGGGAGGCAGCAGUGGGGAAUAUUGCACAAUGGGCGGAAGCCUGAUGCAGCAACGCCGCGUGCGGGAUGACGGCCUUCGGGUUGUAAACCGCUUUCGCCUGUGACGAAGCGUGAGUGACGGUAAUGGGUAAAGAAGCACCGGCUAACUACGUG